UACAGAGGUCCCAAGCGUUGUUCGGAUUCACUGGGCGUAAAGGGUGCGUAGGCGGUCGGGUAAGUCUGACGUGAAAUCUCCAAGCUCAACUUGGAAAUGGCGUCGGAUACUAUUCGGCUCGAGGAAUGGAGGGGAGACUGGAAUUCUCGGUGUAGCAGUGAAAUGCGUAGAUAUGCGGAGGAACACCGAUGGCGAAGGCAGGCCCCUGGGCCGGUACUGACGCUCAUGCACGAAAGCGUGGGGAGCAAACAGG
rnacentral:rRNA from 1 species